AAGUGAUUCACGCCAGUGUGUGGGUCUACACAGUGGGUAUAUUGGCCAAUGGUGUGUGUGUCAUUCAUCUUUGAACAGGAUGCGGAGCUUAGCGCCUACUCAGGUAAUGACAUUGUGUUUACGUCUGCUUUGGUUUCGGUGUCUGCUCUGACAUCAACGGCAUCUGAGGUGAAGUGACACAACUUUAAUGUACAUGAGAGACGUGGACACAUCCACACAGUUUAUAAGCUAAUAGCGCUUCCUGGAGGGACUGGCUCCGAGGCAGAAUACACACGCUUGAUAUUUAAUUCGGCGUUAAGCUACACCUGCACUCAAGACGUCCUCUCAGUUUUAAGUGCAAGAUGUUUAUUCUUCUAAUGGUUUUCUACUUAUUCAGUUUCCCUGUUGCAGUAAGUACAAAAUGAUUACAUUUACUUGUUUUUUACUUCCAUUUGUGCAACUUAGAGUUUGAAGUGUUUUAAGCGAAUGCAACAAGCAAAUCGGUGUUUUAUUUGUUGGCUUCUACAGAACUGCCAUCCUUACUAUAAACGCUAUUCAGGCAGUGGUGAGAGAGGCUAUGGUUACCCAGUGUACUGGAUCAGGCCGAUUAAUCCAUGGCCUUCCUACCCUCUCUGGCCACUGUUUCCAGGUCUGUUGCCACUGCCACCACCUGCUACAGCUUCCCCUCCAGCACCAAACCCAGCCACGACCCCAAGCCCCCUGCCCCCCCAGACCACGGAUCCACGAGGCGACAACAGAUGACCUGUGCUCAUUGGAGGGCAGGAAUCACUUUAUUUUCAUUCAUUAUCAAAUGAAUGACAAAAUUCAGUGAUAUAAAAAACUGGGCUGUCUCUUAUAUGUAAAAAAUAUUGCUCACUUUUGAAAAGUAUAUGCUUGCAUGUUUUCUCAUUUCAGUAUUAAGAAUGGUAUGCAUAUUUCUUUUACCUAUCUUUCAUGUUUAUCACUUUUGAAUUACUGUUAGUGGCAUAUUGUCCAUGGUGUAAUUACGGUGUUCCUUUGGAGGCUUGUCAGAGACACCAGUGGGAGUAUUCUACUGUAAUACUAUGUACUCUGUGUGCACACAAAUCACCACCUGUGGAUCAGCACAGCUUAAGAAGGGGAUGGACCCUGUAAUUCCAGACUCUUUGCUUCUGUAAAAUGUGUCUGACUGUUCUUCUUGUCACAACUCAGCAACUUUUCACUGCACUGUCUUUACUGUA
rnacentral:lncRNA from 1 species